GAUGAACGCUGGCGGCGCGCCUUAACACAUGCAAGUCGAACGGUUAAAGCACCUUUUAGGUGUGUAUAAAGUGGCGAACGGCUGAGUAACACGUGGGCAACCUGCCCUCCUCUUGGGGAUAGCCUCGGGAAACCGAGGAUAAUACCCGAUACUUCAAUGUGGCCGCAUGACGACAUUGAGAAAGCUUUUGCGGAGAAGGAUGGGCCCGCGGCCUGUUAGCUUGUUGGCGGGGUAGAGGCCUACCAAGGCAAUGAUGGGUAGCUGGGUUGAGAGACCGACCAGCCAGAUUGGGACUGAGACACGGCCCAGACUCCUACGGGAGGCAGCAGUGGGGAAUCUUGCACAAUGGGCGAAAGCCUGAUGCAGCGACGCCGCGUGCGGGACGAAGGCCUUUCGGGUUGUAAACCGCUUUUCAGCAGGGACGAGGCGAAAGUGACGGUACCUGCAGAAGACCCCGGCUAACUA
rnacentral:rRNA from 2 species